CCUCGCUGUGUGACCGUGGGCGGGUCACGCCCCCUCUCUGGGCCUCCUGUUUCCUCAUCUGUAAAAUGGGAAAGUUGGACUAGAGAUGGUGUCUGACCUCCCUCUUAGCCAGGAAGCCUGUG
rnacentral:precursor_RNA from 15 species